rnacentral:rRNA from 1 species
UGGGGAAUAUUGCGCAAUGGGCGAAAGCCUGACGCAGCAACGCCGUGUGAGUGAUGAAGGCCCUCGGGUCGUAAAGCUCUGUCGGGAGGAGAGAGGGUUUGUAUGUUUAAUAGACAUAUAGAUUGACGGUACCUCCAAAGGAAGCACCGGCUAACUCUGUGCCAGCAGCCGCGGUAAGACAGAGGGUGCAAGCGUUGUUCGGAAUCAUUGGGCGUAAAGCGCGCGUAGGCGGCUAGUUAAGUCGGAUGUGAAAUCCCGGGGCUCAACCCCGGAAGUGCAUCCGAAACUGGUUAGCUAGAGUCCCGGAGAGGGUGGUGGAAUUCCUGGUGUAGAGGUGAAAUUCGUAGAUAUCAGGAGGAACAUCGGUGGCGAAGGCGGCCACCUGGACGGUGACUGACGCUGAGGUGCGAAAGCGUGGGGAGCAAACA